rnacentral:rRNA from 1 species
CAGCCGCCACGGGAAUACGUAGGGUGCAAGCGUUAAUCGGAAUUACUGGGCGUAAAGCGUGCGCAGGCGGUCCGCUAAGACAGAUGUGAAAUCCCCGGGCUUAACCUGGGAACUGCAUUUGUGACUGGCGGGCUAGAGUAUGGCAGAGGGGGGUAGAAUUCCACGUGUAGCAGUGAAAUGCGUAGAUAUGUGGAGGAACACCGAUGGCGAAGGCAGCCCCCUGGGCCAAUACUGACACUCAUGCACGAAAGCGUGGGGAGCAAACAGGAUUAGAUACCCCCGUAGUCCCUGUCUCUUAUAC